rnacentral:rRNA from 1 species
CGCAUAACGUCGCAAGACCAAAGAGGGGGACCUUCGGGCCUCUUGCCAUCGGAUGUGCCCAGAUGGGAUUAGCUAGUAGGUGGGGUAACGGCUCACCUAGGCGACGAUCCCUAGCUGGUCUGAGAGGAUGACCAGCCACACUGGAACUGAGACACGGUCCAGACUCCUACGGGAGGCAGCAGUGGGGAAUAUUGCACAAUGGGCGCAAGCCUGAUGCAGCCAUGCCGCGUGUAUGAAGAAGGCCUUCGGGUUGUAAAGUACUUUCAGCGGGGAGGAAGGGAGUAAAGUUAAUACCUUUGCUCAUUGACGUUACCCGCAGAAGAAGCACCGGCUAACUCCGUGCCAGCAGCCGCGGUAAUACGGAGGGUGCAAGCGUUAAUCGGAAUUACUGGGCGUAAAGCGCACGCAGGCGGUUUGUUAAGUCAGAUGUGAAAUCCCCGGGCUCAACCUGGGAACUGCAUCUGAUACUGGCAAGCUUGAGUCUCGUAGAGGGGGGUAGAAUUCCAGGUGUAGCGGUGAAAUGCGUAGAGAUCUGGAGGAAUACCGGUGGCGAAGGCGGCCCCCUGGACGAAGACUGACGCUCAGGUGCGAAAGCGUGGGGAGCAAACAGGAUU